UACGGAGGGCGCGAGCGUUGUCCGGAAUCACUGGGCGUAAAGGGCGCGUAGGCGGCCUGGUAAGUAGGGGGUGAAAUCCUGCGGCUUAACCGCAGGGCUGCCUUCUAAACUGUCAGGCUCGAGCACGGUAGAGGCAGAUGGAAUUCCCGGUGUAGCGGUGGAAUGCGUAGAGAUCGGGAAGAACAUCAGUGGCGAAGGCGGUCUGCUGGGCCGUUGCUGACGCUGAGGCGCGACAGCGUGGGGAGCAAACAGG
rnacentral:rRNA from 1 species